rnacentral:rRNA from 1 species
AGUGAACGCUGGCGGUAGGCCUAACACAUGCAAGUCGAACGGCAGCACAGUAAGAGCUUGCUCUUACGGGUGGCGAGUGGCGGACGGGUGAGUAAUACAUCGGAAUCUACUUUUUCGUGGGGGAUAACGUAGGGAAACUUACGCUAAUACCGCAUACGACCUACGGGUGAAAGCAGGGGAUCUUCGGACCUUGCGCGAUUGAAUGAGCCGAUGUCGGAUUAGCUAGUUGGCGGGGUAAAGGCCCACCAAGGCGACGAUCCGUAGCUGGGCUGAGAGGAUGAUCAGCCACACUAGAACUGAGACACGGUCCAGACUCCUACGGGAGGGAGCAGUGGGGAAUAUUGGACAAUGGGCGCAAGCCUGAUCCAGCCAUACCGCGUGGGUGAAGAAGGCGUUCGGGUUGUAAAGCCCUUUUGUUGGGAAAGAAAAGCAGCAGGUUAAUACCCCGCUGUUCUGACGGUACCCAAAGAAUAAGCACCGGCUAACUUCGUG